rnacentral:misc_RNA from 1 species
GAAAUGGACGAUGUUUCCUAUGGAACGACAACUAACAUUAAACGCCGAUUUAUGCCAACCUUUAGUGAUACAGAAUAUAAUCAGCUUUUACAGGAAGAAGAGGACGACCUCUUGACUUAGAUGUUUGUGUCCUCAGUCUAGCAGUCAUUAUCCCCACAGACAGCAUUAAGUGAGCCACAUGAUGCAUGUCUCCAGGAAGUGUUGAUAAAAGACAACUCAAGUCCUCCAUAUUCCUGCAUUACUGGUACUAAUGAGAUUAUGUUAUUUAAGACAAACAAGGUACAUGUAGAUAAUGUUAAAUUGUUGUGAUACCUCAAAGAGGCUCACUUUCAAAGUUAGUCAAAGGGAAAUAACUGAUUUUUUAUUUGGCUGACUGUUAACUUUAUAUUUUAAACAUCAUGAACAUAGGUAUUAUUUCUGAAAUGUAAAUUUUACUCUGUUUUAUGAAAAUAUGGGGAAAUUUUCAGCAGGUUUGAAUCAGUCAAUAUUGAUGCAUGAUAAUCUUGUGUUAUUACUAAUUUUGUGAAGAUUUAUCUCUAUAGUACAAAGUUAAUGCUUUGAUAUUGUUUUUGUUUGCUUUUUAGGAAGGGGGGGGGGGGGGGGGGGGGUGAGGCACAUCAAACAUACUAGUCAUAGAAGGAUUGAUGUUUAUCUAGAUAGAUAUUGGAGUUUGAUUUGGUUAAUGAUCCAUGAAAUGGAUGCUCAAGGGUAAAUAGUUCAGAUUCAGGGGUUGAAAGGAAGCCUGCUCAUCUCUGUGAUGGAGAUAACAGACUAAAGUCACAGCCACUUUUAGGUAAUAAUUCCCCAAUGCACAUUGCUCAACUGUAGGGAGGGGGGAGGGGGGAGAAGGGGGUGGGGAUAACACCUUACAGCCUAGAACAAAGUGUUCUGAACACCUUACAAAGAAGAUUGUGUUCCCUGAACAUUUUACAAAGUACGAGUUCGUUAUUUCAGGCAAAGAGUAGUAAUAAGUUACUGCAUUACAAAUAACCAGAGAGUUAUAGGGCUUUAAACAUAUUCCACCCUAUGUAUUUCUGCUGUUUCACUUGACACUGUUUUAUUUUGUUUAUGUUCUUUCUAGAUUUUUUUUAGAAGAAUUAGGUAUUAAUGACGUAGUUUUUAUGUUGGAUUUUGUUACUCAUUACUAGGUUGUGUUUGAUUUAACACACAAACUUUGAUGAUUUUGAUAUGAACAAAUUGCUUUUUUACUGAGACUCAUUUACAAACAUGCAUAAAUAUAUAUGUAUAUAUGGUUGGUUUGCAAUCUCCUGUCCUUGCCAGUGUCCCACUUGUAAUAACGCAUGUUUGUGUUCGAUGUGUUGAAUAAAUCGGUAAAGACCCGU